UGCACCAUUUGCGCACGUCACCGUCGCAGUUUUCAAUUGGCCGCCCGUCAAAAGCGCAACAAUGCAGAGUUGGGUCCCUAGGGGGCAUUUUCCGCGUGUUUGUACGGGGUGGUCAGUUAGUUAGGGGCUUAUAUUAAACGUCAGAAAGUAUGCAAUUUGCCAAACACGUUGCCCAACGAGAAAUCCGUUUUCAAGGAUAUUGCGUUUAGAUGGAGUUCACUGUUUUUCCCAAAUGUCACGAUCAGCUGUUCCAUAUAUCCCAGACAUCAAACAAAGCCAUUGAUUGAUCCGCUUCUAACAAUCCACUGCCCCGCAAAUACAGUAUUUAAAUACUCACGCCCUUGUUGGGCAAAAUGGGACGGAGCAUCAUCCUGUUGAAACCAAAUUCGUCUCUUUGGCAUAUCAGCCUGAUUUGGAUUUAGGAAAGAGACUGCGAGAAUAGGAAUUAACUCGUUUCACUAAUCACUAAACCGUCUCUGACGAUGAAAAAAUAAAUGUCAGUGGCACAUUUGCAUCACAGUAUCACAAAACUGUAAUCUGAGGUCGGGAUAAUUUUCAUUCAACUCCUGUGGUAAUGUAAUCUAACACACGCAAAGUUGUUCAUUGACUAGAAGCUACAUCAUAAGAUGCAGGAUGGGGAUUAUCCUUAACUUAUAAUAAAAUGUUUAAUCUUGUGUUUUAAUUAGUUUUUGUUGUUUUGUUGUUUACUACAAUGGACAAGAAAAAAUGAUGUUAAACGUGUACCAACAUUUUUCUUGCAAUCGAUUUUUAAAUGAAUUUAUUCCAUAUUUUUAAACUACAAAGCUGAUUUCGCUCUAUCUACUAAGUAAUUCAUUUAAGGUAAUUAAUAACUUAUCGAUAAUAUUAUUAAUUACUUCUUUAAUUAAUAAUUAAUUAAUAGGUAUAAUAAGUUCAAUAUUAAAUAUUCAUGGGUCAUGUUAGAAACUUAACAAAAUUAGUGAUGCGUAAGGGAUAUUUUGUAGAUAACAAUUAGCAAACCGUAUGAAAAAAUAGAUUUUAGUGGCACAUUUCCAUCACAGUAUCACAAAACUGUAGUCCGAGGUAAGGAUAAUUUUCAUACUUCAUAAGAAGCACGAUGGGGAUUAUCCUUAACUUAUAAUAAAAUGUUUAAUCUUAUGCUCUCAUUAGUUUUUGUUGUUUUACUGUUUACUAUAAUGGGCAAGAAAAAAUUAUGUUAAACGUGUACCAACAUUUUUCUUGCAAUCGAAUACCUGAUUUUUAAAUGAAUUUAUUCCAUAUUUUUAAACUACAAAGCUGAUUUCGCUCUAUCUACUAAGUAAUUCAUUUAAAGUAAUUAAUUGAUUACCGAUAAUAUUAUUAAUAAUUUAUAUAAUUAAUAAAUAAUUAACAAGUUUAAUAAGUUUAAUAAUUUAGAAAUUUAACAGAAUUAGUGAUGCGUAAGGGAUAUUUUGUAGAUAACAAUUAGCAAACCGUGUUUGCAAAGAAUAAAAUAAACAGUAACAAUAAAAUUAAGUUGAGUUCUAGGAGAAUCUUUUGCAGAUUAUUUAAUUAAUUACACUUAAUUUUAUUAGAAUCGACAAAACAUUUAUGAGUUUUUCAUUGUUAUAAACAAAACCCAUAAUUCAAAAAUGUGAAAAUAACAAUUGUUUUUUAUUCAUAACGUUUCAAUCCUGGCAACCAAAAAAUGGAGACAGUUACCAAAAAUCUUAUUUUCUACUUUUUAUGGAAAAAAUAACGGGGCAUAUACAAAGUGUGACUCCUUAACUAACCAAAACUCUCUUGCUAUCUUGUCACGAUACUGUGUCCUGAUUGCUAAAAUAAUCACAAAUCUUUUCUCUAACCAUUUUUGCAUCGUGGAAGCUUACAUCAAAUGAGGAUCGCACGGAUGUGUUUAAUUUUGAAGACAUUUCCGUAAAAUAUUAUUUAAUACAAACGACCUUAUCAACGCUUUUUACAAAACUUCUGGAUUCCGUCUGCGUCGGUUUUUGCUUAGUCGAAAUUGUUGACGUUUCGAAAAUUAUCCUGUUGGCUUCUUCAGAGCUUGACUGAAACUGACCGACCGUAUCAAUGUUUUCUAUCUUCGGCACGAUCUGAAAAUGUGAUAGCUGUAUUUUCCUUUACUAUUCCUUUUUAUUGAAAUGCAAAGAAGCAAGGAAGUCUUCCUCCCUGACAGAAAGACUGAAAUUUUAACAAUAAAAUCGAGACGUGUGCACACACUAUCUGUUCAGUUUGUCAUACAAUUUGAAAGGCCAUUUUAUCGUUGAACAUUGCCUUUUUCCUUCUGUGCACGCCAAUGGGCCGAACUAUCGAAUCGAACAGGACCGGUCGCCAAAAACGGGUGGGAUCAUUAAAAGUAUUUAUGUUACUCUUAACUUGUAAUAUACGGCUUAUUUAACGUGGAAACAGUUGUAAAAACUGAUAUAAUACGGCCUGGACCUUUAGUCUCGGUUCAGUUUUAUCUUUAUGAUGCACGUCUUGAGGUUCAGAUGGAAUUCAACGUUUUCUUUUUGCCAUGUCCCGCGGUUCCGAGUCGAAAAUCGAGGCGGGGUUCGUACUCAUUAAAAAUCCACACUGGAUUAUCUUAAUUUUAGUGAUUACUAUAAUGAGUAGUUAUAGCGUAGUCACAACUGUUGGUUGCAAUGACAUUUUUUCUGUUAUAUUUGAUGUUAAGCGACAAAAGGAGGGUCUUAAGAAUAAUGUAUGAGGUAUAAUACGAAAAUGUGACCAGAUAAGGUGCUGAACGACCGAAUUUUCAUGUAACAGAGCAAAUCGUGUUUUCUACUGAUGUUAAUUCACCUACAGAUACAGUAAAAUUUCAAGCUGACUUAAACAAAUUUUCUGAGUAAUCCCAAAAAACCUAAAAAAUAUACAGGGUUGUUCACGGAGGGUGUCCUAUUAGAUCUUUAUUUAGAAUAACUUACGGUAAAUAACUGAAAUGCUGUAUGUAAAAUAUUUUUGGUCAUGCUGUGUUGCCAGAUAUACUCGUAAUAUAUUUGUUCAAAGAAACUUCCACAGGCUACUGGAAUACCUUUUACAAAACUUCUGGAUUCCUCCUCCGUCGGUUUUUGCUGAUUCGAACGUCGCAAGUUCGACUCAGCAAAAAUCCACGCAGGAGGGUUCAAGAAGAUAAUCCAUGUUACGUGGGAAUUUUAAAUGGACCAUCACAUAUUUUAUAUUGGUACGUAAAUAAGUAGUUAUUUGCCAUCUAAAAGUACUAAACUAUGGAAUAUCUAUUUUCACUGGUAUUCGAGUUAUAAGCAAAAAACCAAAAUAUUGCAAUUACAACGAAUUAAAGUCAGGAAAUUUCAUUUGGGCCGGCCAUGGUGACGUUUUUUGUAAACAAAUUUCUCUUUUACAUAAAUAAGCUUAAUAUCCCGUUAUUAGCUUGUUUAAAUAAGUAAUUGUUACUGUGAAAAUUUAAUAUUCAUAUAAACUUUUUUUUGGUUGUUUUGCAAUUGCAAACAACUAGAUAUUAUGCUUGAAAUGGAUUGACUUCAUAACAUUUAAAACUGCUGCCCUUUGAAUUUCGUUGGGAUCAAAUUGUUGAAAAGCCUGUCUGACACGGCGUUCCAAAUCCAAAGGGAGUUUUGGUUAGUUUUGGUUAGUUUUUCGUAGACGUAGACGCCGUAUUCAUCGGUUUUCAAACAUGAUUGUAAGUUCUUGACUUAUUCUAUUUGUGCAAUGAGUUGGAGCGUCAUCAAAUCUGUAAUACUGUUCCUAAAAUAUCCAGAUAUUAACAUACAGAAAUUAGAUAUUAUUAUACAUUAGAUACAGAAAUCUAUUUCCAUCAUCAAACAAAACAAAUUGGUAAUAAAUGUAUGUUCAAAUCGCUUUUCUUGUACAAAUUUUGGAUUUUCUGAUGAACAAAAAUGAUUAUUACUUCUGUUAAAAAUACUCUCCCGUGAAAAUUUUGAUUCGUCGGUCCAGAUAAUUCUUUAUAAAAAAUCUGGAUCUCCUGGUAUUCUACCAAUAUUAUCUAACAAAACAAAGAAGAGAUUGUAAUGUAAUUGUGUUGUAAUUAUAUGUAUAUGUAUUGCUAUGCUAAAAAAGUUGCUUUCAUUUUCUUCUGAGUGUGUAACAUGUUUUGAAAGUAGGUUUCGAAGAUUGGCUUUAAUUCUUUAACUUUUUGUAUUGCAUUAAUGGCAAAUUCGGAUAAUGUUCAGUAACUCCUCCGCACAUUCUUGAAAUAAAUAAAUAAAUAAAGCACCAUUAAGUUUAUUUAGACUUCAUAAAUUCUAAACUCCACCCCUCUAAAUCGCUUUGACUUUCAAAGGACGGGCUAUUACAGCAGACAGUCGGGUUCCGCCAAAUUUAAACGCUGCCAUCUGCAAUUGACAUUUUCCGUCCCUCCAUUCUUAAAAUACAAGUAUUUAUCUGGCAUUUCUCUCGUCGCCUUACCGAAAAUAACCCUGCGUAAUUAAACCCGAAUAAGGGGGAGAUUAUAUGCAUAGAUAUUUCCCGAAGGAAUGGGGGACACUAUGGUUAAUGUGGCGUCCAAUGAAAAUUUUAAAUUGCACCGAUAUUUUACCAUCUUGUAACAAAGGACUUUCGGAUUGUUUUUUGUCAUCACACAGGAGCUUUGAACAAUAUGAUUAAUAUGGAAGGUUAUAAACAAAAAUGUUCAGAGCUCUACCAUCAUCAUAGAUUAUUAUGUAAGUCAGGAUAAUGUCCACCUCUGCCAGAGGUUGGACAAAUCUUGGGC